CAAACCGAGAAGUGAAAAAUAAUGUUAUCACCCUUUUCAAAGGGUUAAAAGAGUCUUGUUUGGAGUUGUGUAAGGUUGAAUAAUUAUGUUUGUAAUAUUUCAGAAGUUGGUAGAAAAAUAAAAGAAAAAUAGAAAAGAAAAAAAAUGAAUAAAAAAAAUAGAAGGAUGUAUACAUGUCAAUACAUACCCCUUAAGAAAAACAAAAAAUAAAAUAAAAUAAAAGAAGAGAAAGAAGAAGAAAAAUAUGAAUGAAAAUAGUUACUAUAUAGUUGUUGAAGUGAAUGAAACAUUUUGUAAAUUCAACUCCCGCAGUUUCUUUCAAGUCUUUUUUGUCUCUUUGAAUUUUAGCCUAGUACCCCCUUAGGGU
rnacentral:lncRNA from 1 species